rnacentral:rRNA from 1 species
UACAGAGGGUGCGAGCGUUGUCCGGAAUCACUGGGCGUAAAGGGCGCGUAGGCUGUCUCUUAAGCGUGUGGUGAAAGCCCGGGGCUCAACUCCGGGUCGGCCGUGCGAACUGGGGGACUGGAGCUUGUCAGAGGCAGGCGGAAUUCCGGGUGUAGCGGUGGAAUGCGUAGAGAUCCGGAAGAACACCGGUGGCGAAGGCGGCCUGCUGGGACAGUGCUGACGCUGAGGCGCGACAGCGUGGGGAGCAAACAGG